UGUUGCAUCAUCAAACCCGGAAGAAAAGAGACAAGCACUUAGCUUUGGAAGCCAUUAUGACACUAGUGAUGAUAUCCUUGUCACUCGUAUUUCUAGGGGAUCUCUCUUUGCCCUCCGAGAUCAUCACAAGGAUAAACUAUCCUUCAGCGACAUGAAAGUGCUUUCUGAUCUCAAACGCGUUCUCAAUAUCAAGUAAUAUAUGUAUGUCUAAUGUUGGUCUUUCGUUUGUCAACAACAUCCAACUUUCCAUUUAAAAUCUGAACAAGCUGGCCGCUCUUAGUUAUCUGAUCUUUUUAUAUAGUUUAUGUAUUUUAUGAAAUCCUCCUAUUUUACGUGUCUCGCAUCUCUUAUAUACUGAAAAUAAAUGGUUGAAUAUAACA